UACCUUGUCCAGUGUGUGUUGUGUUCAGGCCAAUUCUUGUGACAUCCAGGAGCUCCGAGUUUGUCGGACGGAUGGUUUUCCCUGUGACAGACCAAAUCUGGACUACAGCUCUUGCCAUGUUUUUGAAUAACUGCCAUUCAACGCGAGUUAACAGCAGCUUCCGUUCAACCGCUUCGGCUGUUUACUUGCAAUGUCUUCCGGUCGAUAUGUGUGUCAGAAAAGUAAACGUGUAAAAUAAAUAAUCCUGAAAAUUGAAACUGGACUGAACCGGGACGUAAAGCGAUGUUCGUGGAGCUGAAACUGGAGGAGGGAGUCUGUUUUCCCUGUUACCCUAGGAGGAGUAAUCCACGUGUCAGUUAUUUUCUCCAGCCUCCUUUUGCCGGCGACGCAGUUCUUCUUUUGAUCGAGUGACGCCUCUGGCUCCGGUCCCUCUCCAAUCAUGAUGGUGCAAAAUAUGUCACAUCGGUGUCGUCUAUGGGAGCAUCGUCCGGGCACCAGGAUGUGCUUUCCUCCUGACCCGUGCCUGCCGGAUGGAGACGGGAUGGUGCCCGUGCAGAGAGGCUGCUGUGGGGCAGGGAGGUGCGCAGUGACAGCCUCCAAUGUUGUUUUAAGGGUUUGUCUGUCCCUGGCUAUGUGAGGCUUUAGCAGGAAAUCGUUAUAUAAUAUCCCUGCAUUCAGCACAACUUUUUCCCUGAUUUCGCAAACUCCAGGUGGUAGAAGGAGCACUCACAUCCUUUUUUAGGUUGAAGUGAUGCAUUAUAUAUGAAAACUUGCAUUGCACAGUAGUACAACCGGUACUCAAAGAUAACAGUGAAGUGUCAUAAUAUUAUACUGCUAGUUACAGGUCCUGCAGUUCAAAAACAUUAUUAUCCAAUGUAAAAUUGGUCAUUAUCCAAAUUGCCCCUCUUCAGAAUCAUAUUAAUUAUUUGUUUAUGUAUGAAACUCUUAACCUGUAGCUAGUCACUAAAGCUUCCAAAUAAAUGUAGUGGAGCAUAAGAAUAAAAUACUUCAAAUGCA